rnacentral:rRNA from 1 species
UACGGGGGGGGCAAGCGUUGUUCGGAAUUACUGGGCGUAAAGGGCUCGUAGGCGGCCAACUAAGUCGGAUGUGAAAUCCCCAGGCUUAACCUGGGAACGGCAUCCGAUACUGGAUGGCUUGAAUCCGGGAGAGGGAUGCGGAAUUCCAGGUGUAGCGGUGAAAUGCGUAGAUAUCUGGAGGAACACCGGUGGCGAAGGCGGCAUCCUGGACCGGCAUUGACGCUGAGGAGCGAAAGCCAGGGGAGCAAACGGG